rnacentral:rRNA from 1 species
UACGUAGGGUGCAAGCGUUAAUCGGAAUUACUGGGCGUAAAGCGUGCGCAGGCGGUUUUGUAAGCCAGAUGUGAAAUCCCCGGGCUUAACCUGGGAAUGGCAUUUGGGACUGCAAGGCUGGAGUGUGGCAGAGGAGACUGGAAUUCCUGGUGUAGCAGUGAAAUGCGUAGAUAUCAGGAGGAAUACCGAUGGCGAAGGCGACAUCCUGGACCGGUAUUGACGCUGAGGCGCGAAAGCCAGGGGAGCAAACGGG